GUUUCAGAUCUGAUUCGAUUUCGGUUUUGAUCAAAUUUAACGGUUGAUUUUAAAAAAAGAAAAUCCAGUUUUGAACCAAAUCGAACCUGUCAGUUCAAGAUGGCCAGUUUUGGUUCCGGUUUUGAUUAGUCCAGUUCUGAUUUUAAAUCGGAUCACGGCUGGGUCUAAUUGUUGCCAUUUGUAAAAUUGCUGUUUUUAUUUGUAAAAAGUGAUAUUUCUUGAUUGGAUUGUAAUUAUAGCAUAGCUAAUGAUGAUUAAAAAAAAAAAAAGGAAG
rnacentral:misc_RNA from 1 species